rnacentral:lncRNA from 1 species
ACUUAACCGAUGUGGGAUCCGUUCAACGAUUACAUAUUAAAGUUUUAUUCUAAGUUAUUUUUCCAUUAUUUUGAUGGAAUAUAAAUAGAUAUCAAGUAACGUGUUAAAAACUUAAAACCAGUGUUCAAGAAAGCGCUAGGCGCUAAGCGGGCGGUGACUCAGUGCCUAGCGCCUAGAACGCCUAAUCGGGGCCUAGACGAUUUUUUAGGCGGUUUAGACGUUUAUAACAUAAUACAACAUUAUAAAUAUGAUAUUAUAUAUAAAAGUUAUAUAAAAUAUUAAUAUAAAACUAAAAAUUAUGAAAUUAUAAACAAAAACUAGAUAAAAUAUUUAUUUAUAUUUAUAUUAAACAAUAUAUGAAUAUUUAUAACUAUAUAUAUAUAUAUAUAUAUAUAUAUAAAACUCUAAUUGAAAUUGAAAAAAUACAUUAAACAAGAUCUAUGUAAUUUUAGGCGGUCAAGGCGGUUAUCUAGGCGUCGAAUGAGAGCCUAGCGCCUAGUCGGGGCCUAGGCGACCGCCUAGACCGCUUUUUAGAACACUAGUUAAAACUAAUUGAUUAAUGAUUUUAUAAAUUUGAUAAUAUGUCUUAAAAUAUUUAAAUGCAAUUUAGCAAAAUGUCAGUUUUUAGUAUUUUUUUCCCCGCUAAUUUGUAGUUUAAUAUGCUCUGGGAAGCUAAUAUGUAUUUUUAACAACACACUUUUGAUCAUGAAUCCCAUUUGUCUUAAGAAAAAAUAAUAAUAGAGGAAUUAUGAAUUGCUCAAUUUGUUUGUCGUUAAAAUGGCUGCAGGGAAAAAAAAAAAAAAAAACAGAGGAACAUGAAAGUUUUUUCAUAUGAAAUAUUCAAUUAUUUUAGAUAUAUCUUUGUUAUCUCAUUUUCUUUACAUUCGAUGAGUAUAUCGGAAAUUAAAUUCAAGAAUCAAUACUUAUGUAUAAUGGUGGAAUUUUGUUUGCAUAUAUUUGAGAGAUGAAAAGACAUAAACUAAUGAUCAAUGGUGUAGUUUGUCUUCCUUUGUACCCUAAACGUAUGUGACACUUAUCACAGAAGGCAUGUGUUAUCACUCUCAUCAGACUAGCCUUCUCUCAUGUACAUGUAUUAGUUCCAUAAUUUUUUGUGAUUUUAAUUGUAUGCUAAACUUGCAAGUUCAAAACAUACAUUUAUUUUUAUUUCCAAAAAUCAUGAAACCUUAUAUCAUUUUGAAGAGACAAUAGCUGACUUGCCCGAUUGCAGAUGUUUCUCAAAAAAAGUGUAUGCCAAACUAAAAAAAAAAAGUGUAUGCCAAACUCGAUAUGCUUAGUUUGUUGAUGUUGACCGGAUUGGUGGCCAGAUAGACAGAUGUAGACGACAAGAUAUAUAUAAAGUGAGGCAGUUGAUACUGUAUUCUUUCUAUUAAUAUUCUGCUUCUGCCGUAGAACGAGAUCUAGAGACAGUUGAAUUGGCUAUGUGUUGAUUAAUUGUUUGCUUAGUUUUUUUUUUUGCUUCACAUAGUAUGUAAGUGAAGUUAUACACACUUUUCAUAAUGACGAAUCCUGAAUCUAUUAGUACUAGCUAAUAACCCUACAUCCAACAAUAUAGUAGUAACUCUUUUUCUAUAUGCAUCUCCAUCAAAAUUAAGGAAUUGUGAUUUCAUUUCGAAAUAUCAUUGUCAAAAUCCAGAUCAUACCACAAAGGACCUAUCAGAUAAGACACUGAUAUUUGAAACUUUUUUUCUAAAUCUCCCCCUGUCAUUUUCAAUGUGAAUCAUCACGAUCUGGAAUCAGAUCAUGACACUCAAAAAAAUGAGUCAGACACUAUAUCUAUCUAUGCACUGAGUUGGCCAAAAUUGGAAGAUACAAAAGAGGAGAAAUAAAUGUUUUGUGAUAUUUUUAUCGGAUCCAAUCGUAACUAGGAAAGAAUCACGUGAAUUAGAAAACAACUAAACCAAAACGCAUCAGACUUUUAUAAUUCUCUAUAUAAUACGUAGCAAUAAUUCAAAAUAACCACGCAUGCGUCUCCACUGCACUCUCCCACCACCAACUCCGUGCGACAAACCUAAAAAGCUUCUUUUUAUUUCUUGUCGCGACUCGCGACACUGAUUUUCUUUAAAUUAAUUAACCAAAAUUAGUUUUUUAACCCACAGACCAUAACUGAAAUUCAGACACUCACUCACAUCAGUCAGUAGGUACACCUUACACAGGCUGUCGACACCUAAGUACAUUCUAAUUUACUAAUCAACACUUGUAACUUGUUAAUUAAUCUUAAAUCUUAACACACUUAAAAAUACUAAUCAUCCCCCAUGUAUCGCCGGCUCUACGCUUCCGGCGGAUAAAUCAAGAGUAAGAUUCUUAUUAAUAAUAAAAAAAAACUAGAAAUUCUUAAAACACAAACCAAAUUAAAAUUAAACACAAAAAAGAGUACAAUAACCAAGUUCAUUUAACUUAAAAAUAAAAUAAAAACAAAUUGAGACAAUUCUCCAUACUCCGGAGGUGUUUUUUCCUACCUUUUUCAAGAACUCUCCUCCGGCGGCGGCGAUGAAGAUUCCGGUUUUCUGCAGAGAAUCAUAUGCAUCGGAGAGAAUAUUCCGGUUUCACCUCCUCUGGUCAAAUAAUCAGCAGUCUUAAACAACAUCUCAUGAACAUCAACAGUUCCUUUAGGAGCAACUCCAACAGCAGACAAAAUCUGAACCACAAUGUGAUUCCUCCAAUAAGCAAGCCUACCCAUCUUAAGCCUAGUCCACCAUGGCUUAGCCGGUGGACUCGCCAGAUCCUUCUCCUUCACUAUCUCAAACCCAACCUUUUUAGCAGUCUCAGCAAUAUCCACGUAAGCCCUAAGCCCAGGUAACGCAUCUCCUCUCUCGAUCCCUUGGAUUACCUCCACGUGUUCAUCAUCCUCCGCCUUAAAUUUCUCCGUCGUUACCCACUCGUAGGACACAUACAUAGAUCCGGGUUUCAACACCCUGUAGAUCUCUGCGUACACUUCUUCUAACUUCGGUGCGUGACACGUGGCUUCGAUCGAAUAAGCACCA